GUUCCAUAAUUCUUACUCCUGAGGUAUGAUUCAUACUUCUGAACAUGCUUAGUAAAGUAUAAGCUUUUCCUUUUCCAUUUUUUUGGGUGGGGCAUGGGAGGAAGCUUUGAUGGGAAGUAAAGAGGAGGUUUGGAAAAUUCUCAUUUGGUAUUGCUAUUAGGUAUCAAAUCAGCUUCUAAUGACAGAAAUCUUAGUGUGGAUUUAAUUUGGGGCCUCAGGUUUAGUUUUAAAGCCAGUGUCAAAGCAUGUAGUUCCCUUAGUGAGGUGAAAAACACAUUAUAAUUGACUUUGGAUUAAAUCUGAAAAUGAUGAUCUAUAGUACUUGGUUUAUUUCAAAUGGUAAAACUAUGUGCGUUAUCCUAUUGUUUUUAUUUCUUUAGAUAGCUUUGUGAUCCUCUUUGUUCCAUUACUGGGUCAUUAGAGCUCUGUUUCUCUUUUUCUCUCAUGCAGGACAAAUUUGUUGUCUUUUUGUUGCAUUUAUAGUCUGUUCCAUUUGUUAUUUUGAUGUUGCAUUGAUGAAUGUUAAAAGUAUAUUAGUUAAUCAUGCUACAAGAUCUUGUGAACUCAAUGAAUUUCAUUUGAUAGCUUAUCCGUAUACUUGCUCUCCUUGUACUCUAAUAAUUUGACUUAAAGAAUGCUGCUUUUGUGUUAGCUUAGGGGGAUCGGACUGAUAAGAAAG
rnacentral:misc_RNA from 1 species